rnacentral:lncRNA from 1 species
AUUUUUUUCCCAUCCAGACAACCUAGAGAAACCCAAAAAAGAGGGAAGCCAAGCGCCUUUCCAUGCGUAGAUUGCCCGCCACUUCCGUUAAGGCAUCUAUUUUACUGAUGAAAAGAGGCCUUCUGAGCGUUACCACAGCUCAAGCUUGGCGUCCCAGCCGGAUCUAGGUUUGAUUUGCAAUUAGGGAAAGUUGUUCAAGGGAACAAGUCUUAGGAGAAUUCUAAGGACAUGAGAUUGGAGUACCAGAAAUGGGGAAUUUUUCUUUUGUCCCAAGUUUCUACUACUCUGUGAGAAGAAAAAUAGAUGCUCACAGACAGACCAACAUGAUUCCUCCCCCGCUUCCUGGAACCCCUGACACCCUCCCAG